GGACAAUUCAGAGGGGAUUUCUACCUUUCCAGGAGAGAGGGCUGAAACAAAGUCUGCAGAUGAAGAACCAUCACACCUUUAUUCAGAAUGCCCUUGGGUCCCUCUGAUGCGGAAGGGAGCUGGCCCUUAGAAGACAGCGUACAGGACUGGACAACGUCUUACCAUAAUGCUGCAGAGCAGUUGGAAGGGAAUUCAAAGAAAUGCAACGCUAGUGAUUGCUGAGGGGACUGGCUUACGAGAAAAGCUUAAAACUUCUCUGAUUACAUCUGUGCCCAGUGGGAUGUGGCGAGGAUCUUCCCAACAAGUAGACAGAAAAAAGAAAUUUUGUGAUAUUGGCCACUGCAUAAGAGCUGAUUCCUCAUUUGGGGAGCAGGUCUGCCUACCAGAUUGUCAGAAAAUGUCUUCAAAAUGGCCAGCAUGAGGCUUCCACCAAGACUUAUCAACAACUGAGCAACAAAAAACCCCAUGUUAUGGAAUUAGAAAAAGGCAAGAAAGGAGCAGGGGAGCUGAUAGCGUGCUCCCUUCA